UACGGGGGGGGCAAGCGUUGUUCGGAAUUACUGGGCGUAAAGGGCUCGUAGGCGGUCAACUAAGUCGGAUGUGAAAUCCCCAGGCUUAACCUGGGAACUGCAUCCGAUACUGGAUGGCUUGAAUUCGGGAGAGGGAUGCAGAAUUCCAGGUGUAGCGGUGAAAUGCGUAGAUAUCUGGAGGAAUACCGGUGGCGAAGGCGGCAUCCUGGACCGACAUUGACGCUGAGGAGCGAAAGCUAGGGGAGCAAACGGG
rnacentral:rRNA from 1 species